rnacentral:misc_RNA from 1 species
AACCCCCCUCGUCUUUAACGCUUUCUAAAAGAGUUAUUGACGGAUUCUGAGUGUUGGCGUGUCAACGCCUCGCUUUAAAUAUAUCAGCACUUUUGGAUGGUUACAUGUUAGUUCAAAAGACGUACUUGAUGUCGUAUUUAUACAAUUCAUCGAGAUGGUCUUUGGUCGUAUCGACUAUCCGCUAAUAUGACGACUUGAAGAAUAGCUUCCUAACCCCAUUGAAUUUACC